UCAACAUUGCCAUUCACCGUCUAUCCAUCGUCGUAGCAAGACCCACCCCGGGCAGACUUGCGCGAUUAGGAAAGGCAUCUGGUAUCCAAGUUUUUUGAUUAUGAGCAUAUUAUGUUGCCUGCACAUUAUCUUACUCGUAUUAUCAAAUAGUGAUUUUUUUCAUACCUAUUCGCAGCUCUAACAUUUCCUUAGCUCAAGCUAUAUGCACAAACAAAGUUCGACCUUGGUCUUGUUCCGUCUCUCACCGUUCGGGCACUCAAGCUCUGGUAUGCACAAACAAAAUUCGACCUUGGCUUUGUUCCGUGGCUUAUAUAAGUCUGGCACAGUUCGGGCGCAAGACUGCCAGUCACAUUACGAAAACGUUAAUUUUGUUAUAGUUGUAAAAUUGCAACGUACAAUAAUUGACUAUUAUACAAGUGUUUUUUUGAUUUCCUAUAAAAACAGAGCAAUUAACUCAACUCUGGCCAAUUUCUGCGUUACAAAGUGAAUCGUAAAAUUUGUUGAAAAAACACUCAUAAAUUUAACAUCUUCCAAGGGCGUAAUUGAGGAUGGAGAAGGGAGUAUUCGCCCUCCCCCCUCGUCACUUGUUUUUUUUUCUAUUUAAUACAUUAAUUAAUAAUUUAUUUAAACAUUUUUCCAUUUGAUAAAGAUUGUAAAUCGUAUUAGUAUUGAUAUCAUUAUACUUAACAUAAAAAGUAUUUUAUACCUAUUUAGGUAAUCAACUGUAAAUUAUUUUUAGUUUGUAUAGAAGAAAAAAUAAUUUUGUCCCCCCUCCACCCAUGGACUCAACUCAAAUACGCCCUUGGCAUCUUCUUAUAUAUAAUAAAACGUGAAAUAUAAUCACGUUCACAAUAGCCAGGAUCUCCCAGUGGUCGCAUAGAAAAAAUGUUUAGGUAUGGACGUGUGGUCGCCGCGGCCUAACGAUUGAUUAUAUUAAUUAUUAUAUUAUUAAUUUUUUUCUGUAAUCGUAAAUAUAACUAUCAGACUCACACGAUCACCAAUAUUCGGCGUGGUAAUUUCCAGUCAAUUAAAGAUAAAAGGAGGAGAUAAACUGUAAGAUUGUUAGGUUAAACAUAGUUGUAUAUUGUGUGUUAGUUUUUUUUCGUUUUUCGUUUUAUAAAGUCUAAAUGAUAGAAAUUCACGAAAUAGUAAGCGAAAAAAAUAAACAAAUGUUUGUAAUAUUUAAAUAUACAUUUCUAUUUCAUAAGCUAUUAGCAAAUGAAAUAUAAUAAUGGUGUUGUACGGAUAAAAGUUGUAAAAGUUUGUUUAACGAUACAAUAAAGACAUUUUAAUAAGCUCAAGUAAAUUUGACGUUAAUGAUCACAAUCAUGAAGCGAAUACUGAUCAGAUAUUAAAACGUCAACAAAUACGAAAUGGUAUUAAAAGAAAGACAACUGACAAUAUUUGUGAGCGACCGUUAAAAUUAAUCCAUGGUGGUUUAAAAGAAAGCGGAGUUGAGAAUAUUAUCACAACAGAUUUUUCGAAAAGGAAUUCAUGAAGCCCGUAGAAAAAUCCUUCCAGCUAAACCAACCAAUAUACAACAAGUGCAUGACGCUUUAAGGUCCAUUGAUAUCAAACCAAACGAAGGUGAACAAUUUUUAAUUAUCAACGAUAAUAUUAAGAAUUUUAUUUUAUUUUCAUGUAAAAGUAACUUACGAAGUUUAUCAUCAAUUUCUCAAAUUUAUGUCGAUGGGACAUUCCGAUGCUGUACUAAAUAUUUUUGUUAAUUAUUUACUAUCCAUGCAUUGAGAAAUGGUCAUUAUUAUCCUAUUGCUUAUUUUUUAUUACCAGAUAAAAAAUUUAAAAGCUAUCAAAAUGCAUUUCAUUGACUUAUUGAACAGUGUAAUACAUUUCAUUUUGUCUUAAGCCCGAUAUAGUUAUAUUCGUAGACUUUGAAACAUCUAUACACAAGGCAAUUUGUUUAACUUGGCCAUUGGUUAUUAUAAAAGGUUGCAGGUUCCAUCUAGGUCAAUCGCGGUGGUGAAAAAUACAAUCUUUAGGGUUAAGUACAGAUUAUAAAGACAGAUAGCGAAAUAGGCAAAUUUUUAACGUAUAUAUUUGGAUUACCAUUUUUAAAACCUGAAAUGGUAGAGGCAUGUUUUGUAUAGAUUUAGUUUCUAUACAACCUUCAACGGCAAAAAUACAAUUAUUAUGUGAUUAUUUAGUAGAAAUAACUUAUAUUGACGAUAAUUCCGAUUUUCCAUCGAAUGUAUGGGCUACUUGUAGUUCUAGUACAGUGUUUCCCAACUGGUGUUCCGCGGAACCUAAAGGUUCCGUCAGCCGGUGCCAAGGGUUACGAAAAUAGGGUUCCGUGAGAAAUUUGGGAAAAUAUAAAUUAAUUAAUAAUAUUUUUGAUUUGAAUUAUGAUUUUAAUAUAGUUCAUAGAAUAGCUCCAAAAAUGAUAUGGGGGUUCCACAGAACGUUCAAGCUCCUGCAAAGGUUCCGGGAGUAAAAGAAGUCGGGAAACACUGUUCUAGUACAUACUUGACAACAAACGUAUGUGAAAGUUUCCAUUCUAAACUUAAUUGAUUAUCCAAGUAUAUAUCAAUUUUUGGAUAUUUUGAAACAAUGUCAAACCGUUGCCAAAAUUAAAAUUCAAUCUAUAGUCUGUGCUCCUCGGGGAACAACUAAACAAAUUAAUAAAAAAAAAUAUAGAAACGCAAAUAAAAAAAUUAAACAGCUUAGAAAUAUCUAAUUUUGAUUUUGUGAAAAUAAUGAGUUCUAAAAAUCUACCUUUAACUAUAACUUAGCACUAAAAUUAUUUUACUGUUUAUUAUUGUCAUAUGUAUUUUAUAACUUUUUGUAUUGUAAGCAAUUUAUUAUUUUAUUAUUCGACUACUUGUAUGUAUAUGUACUAUUUAAUUAAUUAUUAAUUUUCCUAUGUAGCC